GUACAUUAACUUUCAUAAAUCAAAGCAAAUAUGUCGAAUAUUGACAAUUAGGACAACAAAAUAUUCACAGCUUGUUGACCUCAGUUUUCAUAAGGAUAAUGUCACCAACAAGUAGAUAUUUCACAUAGAUGCUUUCCUGCGCAUGGUAGCAAACCUUUAGUCACUCGUCAGCCUUUUUAGUGGUGAAAGAAGCCAUCGCGAGCACUUUGAUGAUCAAAUUAGAUGACGAAGAAAGAAGGAACAACACCCAUUUAAUAAGGUAAUAAAGUAUACAUCAAUAGGAUUGCAUUACUUCCCAAAUGAAAAUUAAGUAUUUAUAAAGAAAAAGGUGGAUUUUGGACGUUGGAUGAAG
rnacentral:lncRNA from 1 species